rnacentral:rRNA from 1 species
CAGCACCUCAAGUGGUCAGGACGAUUAUUGGGCCUAAAGCAUCCGUAGCCGGCGCUGUAAGUUUUCGGUUGAAUCUGUACGCUCAACGUACAGGCUGCCGGGAAUACUGCAGCGCUAGGGAGUGGGAGAGGUAGACGGUACUCGGUAGGAAGGGGUAAAAUCCUUUGAUCUAUUGAUGACCACCUGUGGCGAAGGCGGUCUACCAGAACACGUCCGACGGUGAGGGAUGAAAGCUGGGGGAGCAAACCGGAUUAGAUACCCGAGUAGUCC